AAACCGAGUCUUAACCGGGCGUUAAGUUGCAGGGUAUAGACCCGAAACCCGGUGAUCUAGCCAUGGGCAGGUUGAAGGUUGGGUAACACUAACUGGAGGACCGAACCGACUAAUGUUGAAAAAUUAGCGGAUGACCUGUGGCUGGGGGUGAAAGGCCAAUCAAACCGGGAGAUAGCUGGUUCUCCCCGAAAGCUAUUUAGGUAGCGCCUCGUGAAUUCAUCUCCGGGGGUAGAGCACUGUUUCGGCUAGGGGGCCAUCCCGGCUUACCAACCCGAUGCAAACUGCGAAUACCGGAGAAUGUUAUCACGGGAGACACACGGCGGGUGCUAACGUCCGUCGUGAAGAGGGAAACAACCCAGACCGCCAGCUAAGGUCCCAAAGUCAUGGUUAAGUGGGAAACGAUGUGGGAAGGCCCAGACAGCCAGGAUGUUGGCUUAGAAGCAGCCAUCAUUUAAAGAAAGCGUAAUAGCUCACUGGUCGAGUCGGCCUGCGCGGAAGAUGUAACGGGGCUAAACCAUGCACCGAAGCUGCGGCAGCGACACUGUGUGUUGUUGGGUAGGGGAGCGUUCUGUAAGCCUGUGAAGGUGUGUCGUGAGGCAUGCUGGAGGUAUCAGAAGUGCGAAUGCUGACAUAAGUAACGAUAAAGCGGGUGAAAAGCCCGCUCGCCGGAAGACCAAGGGUUCCUGUCCAACGUUAAUCGGGGCAGGGUGAGUCGACCCCUAAGGCGAGGCCGAAAGGCGUAGUCGAUGGGAAACGGGUUAAUAUUCCCGUACUUGGUGUUACUGCGAAGGGGGGACGGAGAAGGCUAUGUUGGCCGGGCGACGGUUGUCCCGGUUUAAGCGUGUAGGUGUGUGUUCCAGGUAAAUCCGGUUCACUUUAACACUGAGGCGUGACGACGAGGCACUACGGUGCUGAAGCAACAAAUGCCCUGCUUCCAGGAAAAGCCUCUAAGCAUCAGGUAACAUCAAAUCGUACCCCAAACCGACACAGGUGGUCAGGUAGAGAAUACCAAGGCGCUUGAGAGAACUCGGGUGAAGGAACUAGGCAAAAUGGUGCCGUAACUUCGGGAGAAGGCACGCUGACACGUAGGUGAAGUGAUUUACUCAUGGAGCUGAAGUCAGUCGAAGAUACCAGCUGGCUGCAACUGUUUAUUAAAAACACAGCACUGUGCAAACACGAAAGUGGACGUAUACGGUGUGACGCCUGCCCGGUGCCGGAAGGUUAAUUGAUGGGGUCAGCGCAAGCGAAGCUCCUGAUCGAAGCCCCGGUAAACGGCGGCCGUAACUAUAACGGUCCUAAGGUAGCGAAAUUCCUUGUCGGGUAAGUUCCGACCUGCACGAAUGGCGUAAUGAUGGCCAGGCUGUCUCCACCCGAGACUCAGUGAAAUUGAACUCGCUGUGAAGAUGCAGUGUACCCGCGGCAAGACGGAAAGACCCCGUGAACCUUUACUAUAGCUUGACACUGAACAUUGAGCCUUGAUGUGUAGGAUAGGUGGGAGGCUUUGAAGUGUGGACGCCAGUCUGCAUGGAGCCGACCUUGAAAUACCACCCUUUAAUGUUUGAUGUUCUAACGUGGACCCGUUACCCGGGUUGCGGACAGUGUCUGGUGGGUAGUUUGACUGGGGCGGUCUCCUCC
rnacentral:rRNA from 1 species